GAUGAAGAACGUAGCGAAAUGCGAUAAGUAAUGUGAAUUGCAGAAUUCAGUGAAUCAUCGAAUCUUUGAACGCACAUUGCGCCCGCCAGUAUUCUGGCGGGCAUGCCUGUCCGAGCGUCAUUUCAACCCUCGAACCCCUCCGGGGGGUCGGCGUUGGGGAUCGGCCCUGCCUCUUGGCGGUGGCCGUCUCCGAAAUACAGUGGCGGUCUCGCCGCAGCCUCACCUGCGCAGUAGUUUGCACACUCGCAUCGGGAGCGCGGCGCGUCCACAGCCGUUAAACACCCAACUUCUGAAAUGUUGACCUCGGAUCAGGUAGGAAUACCCGCUGAACUUAAGCAUAUCAAUAAGCGGAGGA
rnacentral:misc_RNA from 1 species